rnacentral:rRNA from 1 species
AGCGAACGCUGGCGGCAGGCCUAACACAUGCAAGUCGAGCGCCCAGCAAUGGGAGCGGCAGACGGGUGCGUAACACGUGGGAAUUUGCCUUUCGGUGGGGAAUAACGCAGGGAAACUUGCGCUAAUACCGCAUACGCCCGCAAGGGGAAAGAUUUAUCGCCGAAAGAUAAGCCCGCGUCUGAUUAGCUAGUUGGUAGGGUAAUGGCCUACCAAGGCGACGAUCAGUAGCUGGUCUGAGAGGAUGAUCAGCCACACUGGGACUGAGACACGGCCCAGACUCCUACGGGAGGCAGCAGUGGGGAAUAUUGGACAAUGGGCGCAAGCCUGAUCCAGCCAUGCCGCGUGAGUGAAGAAGGCCUUAGGGUUGUAAAGCUCUUUUGUGUGGGAAGAUAAUGACUGUACCACAAGAAUAAGUCCCGGCUAACUUCGUGCCAGCAGUAGCCGCAG